GGUUCUAUGGCGUAAUUGGUUAGCACUCUGGACUCUAAAUCUUGCAAUCAGAGUUCGAAUCUCAAUAGAUCUU
rnacentral:tRNA from 1 species